AGUUUGAUUAUGGCUCAGGACGAACGCUGGCGGCGUGCCUAACACAUGCAAGUCGAGCGAGGAGAUCCCUUCGGGGAUGAACCUAGCGGCGGACGGGUGAGUAACACGUGGGCAACUGCCUUAUAGAGGGGAAUAGCCUUCCGAAAGGAAGAUUAAUACCGCAUAACAUUACAUUUUCGCAUGAAGAAGUAAUUAAAGGAGUAAUCCGCUAUAAGAUGGGCCCGCGGCGCAUUAGCUAGUUGGUGAGGUAACGGCUCACCAAGGCGACGAUGCGUAGCCGACCUGAGAGGGUGAUCGGCCACAUUGGGACUGAGACACGGCCCAGACUCCUACGGGAGGCAGCAGUGGGGAAUAUUGCACAAUGGGGGAAACCCUGAUGCAAGCAACGCCGCGUGAGUGAUGAAGGUCUUCGGAUCGUAAAGCUCUGUCUUCAGGGACGAUAAUGACGGUACCUGAGGAGGAAGCCACGGCUAACUACGUGCCAGCAGCCGC
rnacentral:rRNA from 1 species